ACAUGGCUCUUUGUGGAAAAGAAAAUAAGGAGUCGGACCUGCCCAGUGAGUGGAAGCUUUAACGGCCGCGGUACCCUGACCGUGCAAAGGUAGCAUAAUCAUUUGCCUUUUAAUUGAAGGCUGGUAUGAAUGGUUUGACGAAAACGGGACUGUCUCUUAUCUAUUAUUUAAAAAUUAAUUUUGAUGUGAAGAAGCAUUAAUAGUUCUAAAAGACAAGAAGACCCUAUUGAGCUUAAAUAAGAGAAUAAAAUAGAGUUAUGAAUCAAAACAAUAUUUUUUUAGUAUUAUUUUAGUUGGGGCGACUGAGGAACAAAAGUAGCUUCCUUUAUUUAAAAGAAUAUAUUUAUUUAGAUCCAAAAAAAUUUUGAUUAAAAGAAUUAGUUACCAUAGGGAUAACAGCGUAAUCCUUUUUUAGAGUUCUUAUCGAAAAAAGGGCUUGCGACCUCGAUGUUGGAUUAAGAUUUCCAGUUGGUGCAGAAGCUUUCUUUGGUUGGUCUGUUCGACCAUUAAAAUCUUACGUGAUCUG
rnacentral:rRNA from 1 species